AUUGAACGCUGGCGGCAGGCCUAACACAUGCAAGUCGAGCGGAUGAAGGGAGCUUGCUCCUGGAUUCAGCGGCGGACGGGUGAGUAAUGCCUAUGAAUCUGCCUGGUAGUGGGGGAUAACGUCCGGAAACGGGCGCUAAUACCGCAUACGUCCUGAGGGAGAAAGUGGGGGAUCUUCGUACCUCACGCUAUCAGAUGAGCCUAGGUCGGAUUAGCUAGUUGGUGGAGUAAAGGCCUACCAAGGCGACGAUCCGUAACUGGUCUGAGAGGAUGAUCAGUCACACUGGAACUGAGACACGGUCCAGACUCCUACGGGAGGCAGCAGUGGGGAAUAUUGGACAAUGGGCGAAAGCCUGAUCCAGCCAUGCCGCGUGUGUGAAGAAGGUCUUCGGAUUGUAAAGCACUUUAAGUUGGGAGGAAGGGCAGUAAGUUAAUACCUUGCUGUUUUGACGUUACCAACAGAAUAAGCACCGGCUAACUUCGUG
rnacentral:rRNA from 1 species